UACGAAGGGGGCUAGCGUUGCUCGGAAUCACUGGGCGUAAAGCGCACGUAGGCGGCUUUCUAAGUCAGGGGUGAAAUCCUGGAGCUCAACUCCAGAACUGCCUUUGAUACUGGGAAUCUCGAGUCCGGGAGAGGUGAGUGGAACUGCGAGUGUAGAGGUGAAAUUCGUAGAUAUUCGCAAGAACACCAGUGGCGAAGGCGGCUCACUGGCCCGGUACUGACGCUGAGGUGCGAAAGCGUGGGGAGCAAACAGG
rnacentral:rRNA from 1 species